rnacentral:rRNA from 1 species
UACGGAAGGCAGCAGUGGGGAAUAUUGCACAAUGGGCGAAAGCCUGAUGCAGCUAUGCCGCGUGUAUGAAGAAGGCCUUAGGGUUGUAAAGUACUUUCAUCGGGGAGGAAAAACAAAACUAAUAAUUUUAUUUCUUGACGUUACCCGAAAAAGAAGCACCGGCUAACUCCGUGCCAGCAGCCGCGGUAAUACGGAGGGUGCUAGCGUUAAUCAGAAUUACUGGGCGUAAAGAGCACGUAGGUGGUUUUUUUAAGUCAGAUGUGAAAUCCCUGGGCUUAACCUGGAACUGCAUUUUGAAACUGAAAUACUAGAGUAUCGUAGAGGGAGGUAGAAUUCUAGGUGUAGCGGUGAAACGCGUAGAUAUCUGGAGGAAUACCUGUGGCGAAAGCGGCCUCCUAAACGAAUACUGACACUGAGGUGCGAAAGCGUGGGGAGCAAACAGGGAUUAGAUACC